GUGGUCAUGGUCAAGUGGUUAAGGCAAUGGAUUUGAAAUCCUUUUCUCCAUGCACUGGUUCGAAUUCUGCUGACUAUG
rnacentral:tRNA from 1 species